GAUGAAGAACGUAGUGAAAUGCGAUAAGUAAUGCGAAUUGCAGAAUCCGUGAGUCAUCGAAUCUUUGAACGCACAUUGCGCCCUCUGGUAUUCCGGAGGGCAUGCCUGUUCGAGCGUCAUUAUCACCCCUCAAGCCCGGCUUGUUGUUGGAUGCAGCGCUUAUCCCGCUCCUCCCAAAGAUAAUGACGGCGUCUGCGACGACUCCUGAACACUGAGCUUUCGGGCACGUACACGGCUAGAAGUCCAGACCCGGUCGCCGUCCCCCCCGCGGGGACACCCAUUACCACAAGGUUGACCUCGGAUCAGGUAGGAAUACCCGCUGAACUUAAGCAUAUCAAUAAGCGGAGGA
rnacentral:misc_RNA from 1 species